CCUACGGGAGGCAGCAGUAGGGAAUUUUCCACAAUGGGCGAAAGCCUGAUGGAGCAAUACCGCGUGCAGGAUGAAGGCCUUCGGGUCGUAAACUGCUUUUAUGUGCGAAGAAUUUGACGGUAACACAUGAAUAAGGAUCGGCUAACUACGUGCCAGCAGCCGCGGUCAUACGUAGGAUCCAAGCGUUAUCCGGAAUUACUGGGCGUAAAGAGUUGCGUAGGUGGCAUUAUAAGUGGAGCGUGAAAGCGUGCGGCUCAACCGCAUUAUUGCGUUCCAAACUGUGAAGCUUGAGUAUGGGAGAGGUAGAUGGAAUUUCUAGUGUAGGAGUGAAAUCCGUAGAUAUUAGAAGGAACACCGAUGGCGUAGGCAGUCUACUGGCCCAUUACUGACACUAAGGCACGAAAGCGUGGGGAGCAAACGGGAUUAGAUACCCCGGUAGUCCACGCUGUAAACUAUGGAUGCUAGCUGUGACACACAUCGACCUGUGUCGUAGCGAAGUUAACGCGUUAAGCGUCCCGCCUGGGGAGUCGGUCGCAAGAUUAAAACGUCAAAGGAAUUGACGG
rnacentral:rRNA from 1 species